AAGGGCGUCCUACCAGAAACGGGCUCCGACGGGUGAUGGACGAAAAGCUAGGGGCACGAACCGGAUUAGAUACCCGGGUAGUCCUAGCCGUAAACGAUGCAGACUAGGUGUCACGUCAGCCAUGUGCUGCCGUGGUGCCGCAGGGAAACCGUGAAGUCUGCCGCUUGGGAAGUACGUCCGCAAGGAUGAAACUUAAAGGAAUUGGCGGGGGAGCACUACAACGGGUGGAGCCUGCGGUUUAAUUGGACUCAACGCCGGAAAGCUUACCGGUCUCGACAGCUGUAUGAAGGCCAGGCUGAAGACCUUGCUGGACUAGCUGAGAGGAGGUGCAUGGCCGUCGUCAGUUCGUACCGUGAGGCGUCCUGUUAAGUCAGGCAACGAGCGAGACCCAUGCCCAUUGUUGCUAACGUACCCUCCGGGGUGACGAGUACACUGUGGGGACCGUCUGGAGCUAAUCCAGAGGAAGGAAUGGGCGACGGUAGGUCAGUAUGCCCCGAAUACACCGGGCUACACGCGGGCUACAAUGGUCGGGACAAUGGGUAUCGACACCGAAAGGUGAAGGCAAUCUCCUAAACCCGAUCGUAGUUCGGAUCGAGGGCUGCAACUCGCCCUCGUGAAGCUGGAAUCCGUAGUAAUCGCGCCUCAAAAUGUCGCGGUGAAUAAGUCCCUGCUCCUUGCACACACCGCCCGUCAAACCACCCGAGUGAAGCUUGGAUGAGGGCGCGGUUAAUUGCCGCGUUCGAAUUUAGACUCUGCAAGGGGGGUU
rnacentral:rRNA from 1 species